rnacentral:rRNA from 1 species
GAACCACCUGAACCCAUGCCGAACUCAGAAGUGAAACGCGGUAGCGCCGAUGGUAGUGUGGCAUUCGCCAUGCGAGAGUAGGACACUGCCAGGC